UGCUUGCAUCAUGAUUUACAUUUGAGUGAGUGGCGAACUGGUGAGUAACACGUGGGAAACCUGCCCAGAAGCGGGGGAUAACACCUGGAAACAGAUGCUAAUACCGCAUAACAACUUGGACCGCAUGGUCCGAGCUUGAAAGAUGGCUUCGGCUAUCACUUUUGGAUGGUCCCGCGGCGUAUUAGCUAGAUGGUGGGGUAACGGCUCACCAUGGCAAUGAUACGUAGCCGACCUGAGAGGGUAAUCGGCCACAUUGGGACUGAGACACGGCCCAAACUCCUACGGGAGGCAGCAGUAGGGAAUCUUCCACAAUGGACGAAAGUCUGAUGGAGCAACGCCGCGUGAGUGAAGAAGGGUUUCGGCUCGUAAAACUCUGUUGUUAAAGAAGAACAUAUCUGAGAGUAACUGUUCAGGUAUUGACGGUAUUUAACCAGAAAGCCACGGCUAACUACGUGCCAGCAGCCGCGGUAAUACGUAGGUGGCAAGCGUUGUCCGGAUUUAUUGGGCGUAAAGCGAGCGCAGGCGGUUUUUUAAGUCUGAUGUGAAAGCCUUCGGCUCAACCGAAGAAGUGCAUCGGAAACUGGGAAACUUGAGUGCAGAAGAGGACAGUGGAACUCCAUGUGUAGCGGUGAAAUGCGUAGAUAUAUGGAAGAACACCAGUGGCGAAGGCGGCUGUCUGGUCUGUAACUGACGCUGAGGCUCGAAAGUAUGGGUAGCAAACAGGAUUAGAUACCCUGGUAGUCCAUACCGUAAACGAUGAAUGCUAAGUGUUGGAGGGUUUCCGCCCUUCAGUGCUGCAGCUAACGCAUUAAGCAUUCCGCCUGGGGAGUACGGCCGCAAGGCUGAAACUCAAAGGAAUUGACGGGGGCCCGCACAAGCGGUGGAGCAUGUGGUUUAAUUCGAAGCUACGCGAAGAACCUUACCAGGUCUUGACAUACUAUGCAAAUCUAAGAGAUUAGACGUUCCCUUCGGGGACAUGGAUACAGGUGGUGCAUGGUUGUCGUCAGCUCGUGUCGUGAGAUGUUGGGUUAAGUCCCGCAACGAGCGCAACCCUUAUUAUCAGUUGCCAGCAUUAAGUUGGGCACUCUGGUGAGACUGCCGGUGACAAACCGGAGGAAGGUGGGGAUGACGUCAAAUCAUCAUGCCCCUUAUGACCUGGGCUACACACGUGCUACAAUGGAUGGUACAACGAGUUGCGAACUCGCGAGAGUAAGCUAAUCUCUUAAAGCCAUUCUCAGUUCGGAUUGUAGGCUGCAACUCGCCUACAUGAAGUCGGAAUCGCUAGUAAUCGCGGAUCAGCAUGCCGCGGUGAAUACGUUCCCGGGCCUUGUACACACCGCCCGUCACACCAUGAGAGUUUGUAACACCCAAAGUCGGUGGGGUAACCUUUUAGGAACCAGC
rnacentral:rRNA from 1 species